GAGGAUUAUAUCUGAGAAGUGCUUGUCACAAUGAAGUAUCUACUAUGUUUUAGAAAUUAAUAUGACAAGUUUAACAGAUUUAUUGUUAAGGGCCUUGAUUUUCAUUCUGUGAAAGCGGGGAAGUAGGUACAUUGAAGAAAUUUUAAAAAUAAAAUAGUGGCAAAGUCUGAUUUGUUUAUUUUGAAUCACUCUGCAGCUGCAUGGAAGGUGAAACCAGCAAAGCUUCUGAUCUUAUCCAUUCGGAAAUCUCUCAUCUUUGCGGAUUGACAGUUACUCAAGCUUCAGCUAAAUAUAAUAAUAGCAGUAUGAACUUCAUCAUUGUGUAUAUUCAGAAACUAGGAGAUUUUUGUAUCCAGAAUUGAAUUUUUUUUUUCAAAGCAAAUUCACAUUUUUCAGGAAAAAAAAAUUAAACUAUUCAUACUUUGUGCUAGUAUAGUUACCCACAGAAAUGGAAAUCUCUGGAAUAAAAAGUUGACUAAGGGGGACAUAUGAACAGCACCUAUUUAUUAGAGGAUUUAAAAAUGGAGAGUCUUCAAAUCAUGAGGUGCAGGAGCCAAUGGAUUUAGCACCUUCAAAGUGCUUUUUAAGCUGUAUUCUCAUUUAAGACUCAUUACAUGCCUAUAACAACUUAUUACGUGCCUGUGACAAUUAUCUUCAGUUUUUCAGGUGCCUGCUGGAUUUCAGGAGUUAAAGUUAGCGAAGAGAGGAGGUCAUUGCCAAGGCUUUCCCAAUCUUGGAAUGAAUACCAGAAAGAACCUCGGUCAUGUUGAAGAGUCAAAAACAGCCUUUUAGGUAAAAACAAUAUUGUUUCAUCAAAAGCAUGACACCUUCUGAUUAAAUCUUCAUGUUGAAAAAGAAGAGCUGACUGGAGUCCUCUGGCUUUCAUCAGUGGGGCAUCAUAGUGAAUGUGAAACUAAUAUGAAGAUCACUGGAGACAGGAUGUCAAUUGAGAAUGUAUAUGAACAGGGAACUGCCAGAAAUUCAAACUGCCAGAUUCAGAAGAGGACAUGGAACACCAGGGAUAUCAUUGCUGAUGUCAGAUGGAUCCUGACUGAAAGCAGAGAAUACCAGAAAGAUGUUUACCUGUGUUUUAUUGACCAUGCAAAGGCAUUUGACUGUUGUGGACCAUAACAAAUUGUUGAUAGCAUUGCAAAGAAUGGGAAUCACAGAACGCUUACUUGUGUUCAUGAGGGAACCUGUACAGAGAUCAAGAGGCAGUUGUCCAAACAGCACAAGGGGACACUGCAUGGUUUAAAGUAAGGAAAGGUGUGAGUCACGGUCGUAUCCUUUCACCAGACCUAUUUAAUCGGUAUGCUGAGCAAAUAAUCCGAGAAACAGGGCUAUAUGAAGAACCAGUGCAUCAGGAUUGGAGAAAGACUCAUUAACAACCUGUGUUAUGCAGAUGACACAACCUUGCUUCUGAAAGUGAAGAGGACUUAAAGCACUUAACUGAUGAAGAUCAAGGACCACAGCCUUCAGUAUGGAUUACACCUCAACAUAAAAAUCCUCACAACUGGACCAAUAAGCAAUAUGAUAAACAGAAAAGAUGGAAGUUGUCAAGGAUUUCAUUUUACUUGGAUCCACAAUCAACACCCAUGGAAACAGCAGUCAAGAAAUAAAAAGACGCAUUGCACUGGGCAGAUCUGCUGCAAAGGACCUCUUUAAAGUGUUGAAGAGCAAAGAUGUCACCUUGAAGCCUGAGGUGUACCUGACCCAAGCUAUGGUAUUUUCAGUCACGUCAUAUGCAUACAAAAGCUGGACACCAAAGACCAAAGAAGAAUUGAUGCCUUUGAAUUGUGGUGUUGGUGAAGAAUAUUGAAUAUACCAUGGACUGCCAAAAGAACGAACAAAACGAACAUAAUCGGUCUUGGGAAAAGUACAGCCAGAAUGUUCUUUAGUAGUAAGGAUGGCGAGACUGCGUCUUACAUACUUUGGACAUGUUCUCAGGAGGGAUCAGUCCCUGGAGAAGGACGUUAUGGCCUGGUAAAGUACAGGGUCAGUGGAAAAGAAGACCCUCGAUGAGAUGAAUUGACACAGUAGCUGCAACAAUGGGCUCAAGGAGCAUGGCGCAGGACUGGGCAGUGUUUCGUUCUGUGGUACAUAGAGUUGCUGUGAGUCAGAACUGACUUGAUGGCACCUAACAACAACAUUAUAUCUGUACAUUUUAAUCAGAAAUCAAAUAUUCCAUAGGGAUAACAAUAAGACAUAUAGAGUGGAUGAUAUUGACUGGGACCAGAAUCCAAAGGGUACCUUUAAAAAAGGAGAUGGCUCUGAAGUCAGCUUCUUAGAGCACUACGGAAAGGUAUUGAAGUUCUCUUGUUUUUAUCUUUUUAAUAUGAAAUAUGAAGCUCUUAAUAGAAUUCUGAGGUAUUUUCAGUUGUUUACUAACACUUGUUGCACAUUUGAAACAAACCAAAAAUCUAACCUAUUGCAGAGCCCAACUCAUAGCAAUCCUAUAGGACAGAAUAGAACUGCCUAUAGGGUUUCUAAGCUCUGGACGCUCAGCUGAAACCUGUCUGCCAUGGGUGACCCUGCUGGUAUUUGAUUACAGGUGGCAUAGCUUACAGCAUCACAGCAACACACAAGCCCCCACAGUACAACAAACUGACAGACUAAGACUAGGAAGAAGGACCCGUUGGUCUACUUCUGAAAAGAAUUAGCCAGUGAAAACCUUAUGAUUAGCAGUGGAAUAUUGUCGGAUAUAGUGCUGGAAGAUAAACCUCUCAGGGUCAUCUGGGGAAGAGCUGCCUCCUCAAGGUAGCAUGGAUGGAGUCAAGCUUUUGGGACCUUCAUUUGCUGUCGUGGCAUGACUGAGAAAUAAGAAAUAGCUGCAAACGUCAAUAGUAAUCGGAACCUUGAAUGUACAGAGUAUGAAUCUAGGAAAAUUGGAAAUCGUCACAGAUGAAAUUGAACACAUAAAGAUCGAUAUCCUAAACAUUAGCUCAAAGUUGGACUGGUAUUGGUCAUUUUGAA